CAGAUCUCUGCAGGUUUAAUGGCCAGCCCAGGUCAUGAGAGCUAAAAAGCUUUAACAAAAAAUAGAUACAAAUGCAAAUCCAGGGGGAAAAUUGGUGUCUUCAGUCAAGGUUUCUGCUUUAUGGUUUCAAUCCUGUUUGGCAUUGGUGACUGAAGGGUUUUUAAGUGCACAGGCUGGUGGCACUGGCUGGCAGGUUUGGAGGACAGGCUCAGGACACGUGGAUGGAGCUCCAUGUCUGCUUCCCUCAUUAAAUGAGGAGCACUGCUUUGGUGUUGCUCAGACAGCAGCCAGUCAGAGCAGGAGGGAUUCCAGACUUCAGGAGACAGCAGGGAGUGGGGCUGAAGCAAGGGAGAGAAGAGGAUUGUCUCAGGUGAGGGCAGUGCCCUCUGAAGCAGGACAUCUCCAUGUGGGCCUCUGUCCUUGGAUGAGGGAGGAUGGGAGGAGAAGAGAGCCAAGGCUCUGCCAGCUCCCUCUGGAGAAGUCCUGCAGGCUCCCAUUUGUGCCAUCCUGGCCAUGGCCAUGCCAUGCUGAGCCUCCUGCCCCAGGACCUGCCUGACCCUGCAGCUCUGAGCCACCAGGACCUGUGCUCCAACCCCCUGUGAAUAUUUGGGCUGGCCCACAGUGAGCAGAGCUCUGCUGCUGCCCUGCCUGAGGUUAACACAGGUGAAGCAAACAGCCCCUCUGCCCCAGGUGAGUUUGCUUUGAAAUGCUCCUCUGGUGAGGACUGACUCUUGACACAGCUGUUUGUCAUGGGAAGAGGCUGCAUUUUCCUGGGAGAUACUGGAUUUAACCAGGAACAUGAAACUUUCUCCUGCCUUGGAUCCUGUACAUCACUGGGUGACCAUGUCGUGGCUCUUAUGCCUUGGUAAGACUUAUCCUGGAUUAUUAUUUAGCUGUUAAUUAAUCUUGAGAGUGAUGUAAAGGCUUUGAACUGCUGUUUGAAGAUUUGAGUGGGUGGUUUUUGCUCUUGUCAGAGAAGGAGGGAUUUGGAGGUGAGAUCCCAGCUCUGAAUGACAUUAAGUUGCUCUGCCCUGACAGGUGGGAACAGCUCCUGACUCCCUCUCCUGCCAGCACCUGCAGGGGCCCUGCAAGACAAAUCAAAUCCCCUUGGGAAUCAGGAGCACAGUGGAGCUUGG
rnacentral:lncRNA from 12 species